GAUGAACGCUGGCGGCGUGCCUAAUACAUGCAAGUCGAGCGAACAGACGAGGAGUUUGCUCCUCUGACGUUAGCGGCGGACGGGUGAGUAACACGUGGAUAACCUACCUAUAAGACUGGGAUAACUUCGGGAAACCGGAUCUAAUACCGGAUAAUAUAUUGAACUGCAUGGUUCAAUAGCGAAAGACGGUUUUGCUGUCACUAAUAGAUGAAUCCGCGCCGCAUUAGCUAGUUGGUAAGGUAACGGCUUACCAAGGCGACGAUGCGUAGCCGACCUGAGAGGGUGAUCGGCCACACUGGAACUGAGACACGGUCCAGACUCCUACGGGAGGCAGCAGUAGGGAAUCUUACGCAAUGGGCGAAAGCCUGACGGAGCAACGCCGCGUGAGUGAUGAAGGUCUUCGGAUCGUAAAGCUCUGUUAUUAGGGAGGAACAAAUGUGUAAGUAACUGUGAACGUCUUGACGGUACCUAAACAAAAAGCCACGGCUAACUACGUG
rnacentral:rRNA from 1 species